ensembl:lncRNA
GUGUGUGUGUGUGUGUGUGUGUGUGUAUGUGUGUGCAUGCAUGCGUGAGACAGAGAAAGAGGGAGUGUAUGUUUUUUUAGACACACACCACACUCUCUGAGUUGGCUUCUGACAGUUCCCAUAAAAAAAACAAUCAGGCAUUUCUGAGUAAUAUCUCACAGAUCUUUACUGACCCAGGAGAGGCCGACCACAGGCUCCCACACGGACAUGAUGGGGGCAGCCAGGGUGACCUCCGACCUGGAAGGAUAACGGGGGUCACCAGACAGCAGGAUUCUCACAGUGGGAAGGGUGGGGUUGUGGGCGUGCAGCGGGGGGAAUUGGGGAACCACUAAUGUCGAUUCCCACAGUGGCCAUAAACGGACCAGACGGCAGUUAAAACCGGAGCCGCUUCAGCCCAGGUCCGGCCCGGACUCACGCCGCCUCUGAGCCAGAGUCUGGCGGUUUGGUAGGGGCUUUUUGAUUCUUCUGCCAGUUGUACAUUUGUGCGGUGAAGUUUGGUGUUCAGGCAGAGUCUCACAGAGACGUCUGCCGUAAGCGGAGAAGGAGAGAGGAGAUACUUUUGGUCUCGUUUAAUGGAAAUGAGGGGGGAAUGGGAACGACCUUUGACCUUGAGCAUCCGACUGCGCACACAAAGAUCCUGUCUCUUUCACACACAAAGGUUCCUGUCUCUCUCACACACAAAGGUUCCUGUCUCUCUCACACACAAAGGUUCCUGUCUCUCUCACACAAAGUCUCUUUCAGUAAAGCUGCAUCUAUCAUCAGCUUCUCAUUGAAGUGUUCAUUGGAUAAGCCACAGAGACACAACACACACCUCUGGCGACACACACUUCAAAUACAACACACACAUUGGGGCACAACACACACGAGUUUGUGUGUGUGUGAGUGAGGACACCUCUGUAUACACACAUGCAGCCACACACUUAACCAUGCAGGGUUGAAAGGCGUGUGUUCAGGUGAUUGACAGCUGUCAUUGUGGGGAGAUGUGAGGAAAGGAGGGUCCCGUGGACUUUGUCCAGCCCAGUCCAACUGUCAUGUGGCCAUCUAGCA